UUUAUAAUUUUAAAAUUUCAAAAUGAUGAGAAUUGGAUUAAUAGGGGGGUGGGAGCAAGCUGUUGUUUAGUCCACUCCAUGCGACAGGUCAAGAACGUGGAGCCUUCUUAGUCGUCUGGUGGUAGAACUGUUGUCAAGCAAAUUGAUGGCCAGGGGAUUCAAGUGCCUGUCAAGGCGGUCCAGGUGGGCUCUGGUCAGCCUUGUAAUUUCGUCCGUUACCCAUGGAAUUCCCAGCGUACUGUGGAUUGAACGUAAGAAUGUUGGCAUCGGACAUGACUCUCAGGGCCUUGUUUUGAAUUUAGUGUCAUUAACUUAUUUGAAUUCAUUCGUUUAGAUUUUUCCUUUAUACUCAUUCCUUUUACUCAGUAAGCUAUUAUGCUAUCAUAAUGAUGAAGAUCUUAAAUCCGUAGAUAUUAAUUUGCUGGUAUCUUUCGCAUUCAUUCAAACUUAACCCUGUUCGAAUACAUUUACUUUAAGAAAUGUUGGAAAAUGAUCCUUGCAGAUGUCUAAAACAAAAGUGUUUUAUCUUAGCUUUUGAAAUACUAUAUACCCUAAUCCCAAAGCCAAUCUAAACAUUCGGACGUCGGACUCGAAUUCAUAAUCCUAUAAAAUAUUGUAUUCUGGUCUCUGGCCCCAAUAGGUCGAAACUCAUUUAACUUUGAUUUCAAUCUUACUAAUGAAGUCAUAUUUUCGCUUUGAUCAACUGAUUUGUGUUUUUUUAUUCGAAAAUCUAAAUUUUUAAUUUAUUUAUUCAAUGGAUACGGCGGUCCAUGCGAUUGAAGGGGAAUUUGCCCCGAAUUCGAAGAAAAAGAAUAUCUUGGGAAUUGUACUUUUGGAAUUUGAAAUUUGUAAUUUGAGCUUACGAGAGUAAAAUUUCUAAAUUCUGUCUUUCUUUGAUUAUAAACCCUAUUUUACCAUAAACCCAGAAAGAUGACAACAAAAACUGUUAAACAAAUUUUAAACAAGUUGGACGUUACUUCUUUAAUCCACCUUCUUUACCAUUAUCCAUUAACGUUUAAAAUAUUCUGUUUUUAAUCAAAUUAUAUGCCAUUUAGACGUAAAGAGUAUCAAAAAGGACAUUUAGGUCGUUAAAUAUGAUUACAGCUUGACAAAAAUCAGUUUUGCGGUAAUUUA